CUACGGGCUGCUGCAGGCGAGAAAACUUUGCAAUGUGCGAAAGCACGACAAGGUUAAUCCGAGUGGUUUCUGCUAAAGGAACCUUUUGACAGUCCUAGAAACACUGUUGAAUAAGGGGUGGGCAAGUUCUGGUGUCAGCCGCCGCGGUAAAACCAGCACCUCAAGUGGUCAGGAUGAUUAUUGGGCCUAAAGCAUCCGUAGCCGGCUCUGUAAGUUUUCGGUUAAAUCUGUACGCUCAACGUACAGGCUGCCGGGAAUACUGCAGAGCUAGGGAGUGGGAGAGGUAGACGGUACUCGGUAGGAAGGGGUAAAAUCCUUUGAUCUAUUGAUGACCACCUGUGGCGAAGGCGGUCUACCAGAACACGUCCGACGGUGAGGGAUGAAAGCUGGGGGAGCAAACCGGAUUAGAUACCCCGGUAGUC
rnacentral:rRNA from 1 species